rnacentral:rRNA from 1 species
CUACGGGUUGCAGCAGUGAGGAAUAUUGCACAAUGGGGGGAACCCUGAUGCAGCAACGCCGCGUGGAGGAUGACGCAUUUCGGUGUGUAAACUCCUUUUAUAUGUCAAGAAAAUGACGGUAGCAUAUGAAUAAGCACCGGCUAACUCCGUGCCAGCAGCCGCGGUAAUACGGAGGGUGCAAGCGUUACUCGGAAUCACUGGGCGUAAAGGACGCGUAGGCGGGUUGGAAAGUCAGGUGUGAAAUCCUACAGCUUAACUGUAGAACUGCACUUGAAACUUCUAAUCUAGAGUAUGGGAGGGGGAGAUGGAAUUAGUGGUGUAGGGGUAAAAUCCGUAGAUAUCACUAGGAAUACCUAAAGCGAAGGCGAUCUCCUGGAACAUUACUGACGCUAAGGCGUGAAAGCGUGGGGAGCAAACAAGAUUAGAUACCCGAGUAGUC